rnacentral:rRNA from 1 species
AGUGAACGCUGGCGGUAGGCUUAACACAUGCAAGUCGAACGGCAGCACAGUAUGAGCUUGCUCUUACGGGUGGCGAGUGGCGGAAGGGUGAGGAAAACUUCGGAAUCUAUUUUUUCGUGGGGGCUAAAGUAGGGAAAAUUACGCUAAUACCGCAUACGACCUACGGGUGAGAGCAGGGGAUCUUCGGACCUUGCGCGAUUGAAUGAGCCGAUGUCGGAUUAGCUAGUUGGCGGGGUAAAGGCCCACCGAGGCGGCGAUCCGUAGCUGGUCUGAGAGGAUGAUGAGCCACACUGGAACUGAGACACGGUCCAGACGCCUACGGGAGGCAGCAGUGGGUAAUAUUGGACAAUGGGCGGAAGCCUGAUCCAGCCAUGCCGCGUGGGUGAAGAAGGCCUUCGGGUUGUAAGGCCCUUUUGUUGGGAAAGAAAAGCAGCAGGAUAAUACCCGGCUGUUCUGACGGUACCCGAAGAAGAAGCACCGGCUAACUUCGUG